CUUGUACACACCGCCCGUCACACCAUGAGAGUUUGUAACACCCGAAGCCGGUGGCGUAACCCUUUUAGGGAGCGAGCCGUCUAAGGUGGGACAAAUGAUUAGGGUGAAGUCGUAACAAGGUAGCCGUAGGAGAACCUGCGGCUGGAUCACCUCCUUUCUAAGGAAACAGACUGAAAGUCUGACGGAAACCUGCACACACGAAACUUUGUUUAGUUUUGAG
rnacentral:misc_RNA from 1 species